AGGUUGGACUGUUACCAUGGUGACGACAGCUUCCUGUUCCGGUGGUGUGAGGACAGCCCGUAUCAAAAGAGGAGGGUGUAUACAGCGCCAUCAAGGGGACUCAGUUCAGCUUGACGUUCUUAUGAAGACGAGACAUUUACCACUGAUGAUGUGACAACAUCCACCUGUGAAGAUCUUCUUGUACUUGGACAGGUCUUUUCCUCCGAGAUUUCCCAAGGAGACUUGAAAAACAGCAGCAAGCAUUGACGUAC